CACAUGUGACUAAUUUAUUUGAAC
rnacentral:piRNA from 1 species